CCUGCUGGGGACAAAUAAAAUGAAUAUGUGAAUCGAUGCCACCGGCAGUCAAAAUCUGAUCUUCGCCGGCGAUCGCCUCGGUUCCGGGGCCAAUAACAAUAUUGACGCCCGUUUGCACGUCCGGAUUGCCGGCUUUGCCAAUGCCGCUGAUACGGCCAUUUUUGAUACCGACAUCGGCUUUGACGAUGCCCCACCAGUCCAGAAUCAGCGCAUUGGUAAUCACCACAUCAACAACCUCGGCGGCCAAACGCUGACUUUGUCCCAUGCCGUCGCG
rnacentral:sRNA from 1 species